GCGCAGGCGCGCAGCGCACCUCGCCCUCGCGUUCGGUCGUUCGGUCAGUCAGUCGUCAGUCGCAGCCAGAGCCAGCCAGCCGCAGCUCGCCGCCAGACAGUCGGGCCGACCAGAAGCCAGGCGCAUGCAUUUCCGAGACAUGCCUGUUGGCUUCGUUCCCGACAUGCAUCAGUCCACGCUGCUCGAUGCACGUCGGAUUCGCUGCGACCCGCCGUGAUCCGCGAAGCACGCUAGCGUUGGCGCCAUGCGGCUGAAACGGCUUGGCUUGGAAACGUGGCCCAGCCGGGUCUGCCGGGCCCAGCUGGCUCAGCUCGAAGCGGCUCCACCUGCCACCUGGUGGUGCCCGGCCGGAGCGACUGACGGCUUCUCUCCUGGACUGCGUCUCGAGUCAUUCGUCGCGGCAGCGACGCGGGGCGGCGAGUCGGCCGAGCACUGAGCGUUCCACGUGACCAAGUUGGAACCCUUUUUGCCCGUCCUACUCGCCCUCCGCGCGCCUCCGCGGGCGGUCGUUUGGUUGUCAGUGCUGCCGCACACACAAGCGAGUGUCGGGAGGGUUGCCAACCUCAGCCUACCAGGCAACUUGUUGGGCCUUGUAGGCAGGCUGAGGUUGGCAACCCUUUCGACACCGGCGCGCAGUUUUCGGCUGCUUGUGUGGCAGCACUGGUCCUUGGUUCGGGCGGGAACGCGGGGCGGCGAGUCGGCCGAGCACAGAGCGUUUCGCUGUGGAACCCUUUUUGCCCGUCCUACCCGCCCCCACGCGGGCCCCGGACUGUCGUUCGCAGAGUUUGGGUUGUAUUUAUCCGCAAGAGAGACUGAAGAAGAGCUUAGGACUUGAAUCCGCCUGGGCCUUUUCGGCAAUCUCACCGAGGCGUUCCUUCUCGCCCAUGAAUCCGCCUGGGCCUUUUCGGCAAUCUCACCGAGGCGUUCCUUCUCGCCCAUGAGACUGUACUAGCGUAAAGGCACGGAGUGACACGGCACAGACUGUCUCUGUCUUUCUGGGAAGCAGAACAGUCAACCUCCUUGAUUGGCUGUUGCUCUCUGCAGUGGCCACUGCUCUGGUCUUGAGGCAGCACCAGCUGGUGGGUUGCUUAUCGGCCCACGCCAGGGUCCCGUCACGGGUGCGACAAAGAGAACGUUGUCUCCAUCUCUCUGUUGCACUCGUUGGGACGAGGUCUUGUGGCUGGCGGUGUUACGUGGGUAAAAAUACCCACAACGAGGUACGAGGAAAUAGGGGGUAGAAAGACCAGGGUGGACCACGUGGCUGGUCGUUCGAGUCAGGGCGGUACGGUGGCUGAUCAAGUCACCUUGCGUGCUCUGGCUGAAGACAGUCGUUUUCGUCGCUCUCUCUCGCACUCAUUAGGCAUCCCGUGAAGAUGCGAGAGAGGCAGAGUGACUACUCUCGGAGUCAGUCUACUGGGCGGGCCUUUUCGACUGCUCUGCAGGGUGCACGCGUGUGGGCGUUGACCUCACUGAUAAGACUUGUCGUUGCGCUUUGAGAAGAGCGUUCUGGUCCUCUUCCCGAUGCACGACUCUUCGAGAGAGAAGGUCGCUACGCUGCAGGAAGAGCGUAUGGGACCUACACUCUUUUUCCAGGCAGUUAGAACUGCGUGGGCUUAGCGCCCUCCAUCUUGAUUCUGGUUCCCUCCCUGAGCAGCUCCGCAAGGAUCUUCUCGAAGGGAAGAAACUUGUUCCCUUCCUGGCACGUCCUCCAGCAACUGGCAGUAGGGGACGUGCUCCGGCUUAACUCCUUGAAGGAGGAGCGCGGCCAGGAGGUCUUGGUCUUCAAUGGGACGUCUGGUCUCGUUAAUCCGUUGUACUGCGGCCUGGAACUCGAGGACAUACUCCUUAGCGUACGCAUCUGCAUGCGGAGUGUGUCGGCUUGCAGAGCUAGCACCUUGGCUCGGUCACACGUUAGGUCAGGGGUUGACACAAGUUUGCUACGUGUGUCAUAGUGACGCAGAAGUUGUGUCAAUUUCGCUCUGACGCGCGUAAUCCACACGAAGGGAGACCUCGGAAACGAAAUGAGCUGGUGCGCUCGAUAUAUGACUGGGUUUCGCUUGAUCCAGACGUGUCUUGCCUGCACCAGCUAGUAGGGUAUUUCGGGAAGAAAUCAAGAAGACCGAAGGGCUCGAGAUUGAGCUCCUGCGUUGAAUUUCUGCCAUUCUCGAGGAGCAACUUUCUCAUACUAGGUGUUUCCUUUGGUCGUCUUGAUUUCUUCUGUCUCCGAGUGAAACCACUGUGUUGGACAACAGGGGCAAGGCAGUUUGGCGCCAGGAGGCUUUGUGCGCACGGCUGGGGAGGGCUGGACGAUGAUAGCAAGUGCCAGUGGUGUGUGAUUUAUGAAUACUGCCAUAAAACAUUUACCCAGAAACCUGCCGCCGCUCUUUUGUGACAAUUUCCACAUUUCGAUCGUACCGAGGAUUUCGAAGCAGAAACCCGUACGCGCUGUUGGCGCUUUGCUUCAGUGCCUGUACCUAAUGGCAGUUUCGUCUUCUUCGGGCAGCCCCCGCGAGCCGGGACGCCAGUGUACUCAGUCGUGGUUGCUUUUUCUAGGGCUUUUUUGAAGUCCAGUUAGUGGUCACCAUGUCUGGCCACCUUACCGAACGGCGUUCGGGCCGGCCCAGAGGCUUUUUGACACAGCGGGACGAACAGUCUCGUGUGGUAGCAGAAAGCUGAUGUACUCUUGAGUUGAGAUGACUCCGACUUGCGUUUCCGUGCUACGGUCUCUUUUUCUAUAAAGAAACCAAGACACGGGAUCAACAAGUUCGUGAGUCCCUCAAACGUUUCUGUGUUUGGCACGAAAGGUGGCAAGUGAAUAUUAGUACAGCUAGGCGAAAAGUCUUGCGUUCAGCACAAAUGGAGGCAGGUGUAUAUUAGUGCACUUGUGCAGGAAGGUGUAAAGUCUCUUGUGUUCAAGACAAAAGGUGGCAGGUGUAUAGAUGUGCAGUGAUUCACAAAGUUGCAAACGUUUUUGUGUUUAGCACGGAAGGUGGCAAGUGAAUGUUUGUACAGCUAGGCGAAAAGUCUUGUAUUCAGCACAAAUGGAGGCAGGUGUAUAGAUGGGCAGUGAUUCACAAAGUUGCAAACGUUUUUGUGUUUAGCACGGAAGGUGGCAAGUGAAUGUUUGUACAGCUAGGCGAAAAGUCUUGUAUUCAGCACAAAUGGAGGCAGGUGUAUAGAUGGGCAGUGAUUCACAAAGUUGCAAACGUUUUUGUGUUUAGCACGGAAGGUGGCAAGUGAAUGUUUGUACUGCUAGGCGAAAAGUCUUGUGUUCAGCACAAAUGGAGGCAGGUGUAUAUUAGUGCACUUGUGCAGGAAGGUGUAAAGUCUCCUAUGUUCAAGACGAAAGGUGGCAGGUGUAUUGAUGUGCAGUGAUUCACAAAGCUGCAAACGUUUUUGUGUUAAGAGCGGAGGAAAGGGAAGGCAGCCCCGCUAUUGACUUCGAUGGUUCUCGGUGGUUUGAUGUUGAUGCCCUUUCGAAUGCCACAGGAAGCUGGAUAGACUCGUAUUUUAGUUUUAACAUUCCCAAAAGUGACUAUGAGUUUCCUAACUCUAGAAUUUGGUGGACUGUUGUUGAUGCGCCCCGAAACACCACACACACUGUGUUCAGAGUGUGGUUUUGAUGGGCUGUUGUUGAUGCGCCCCGAAACACCACACUCGCUGUUUUCAGUGUGUUCUUGGUGGACUAUUGUUGAUGCGCCCCGAAACACCACACACAUGGCUAAAAGAAUUUCCUUUUUGGAAUAAAGUUAAAGAAAGGAGUCAUCAUCAUAUUUUUAUCAUUACACAUGGACUGGAAAGCACUAUUCUUCUGCUGUCCUCUUGUCUGAUUUGGACACAAAUUUUUUAUGGAAAGGAAUUUACUCCUGGAUUCAUCAAAAAUGACAUCCCUGGCUGUAUACCGAAACACCACACACAUGGCUAGAAGAAUUUCCUUUUUGGAAUCAAGUUAAACAAAGGAGUCAUCAUCACAUCUCUGGCUGUAAUUACCUUUCUUUUUUCAAUCGACCAUAGCCUGUAUCCAUUGUCACAAUAUCCUAACAUAAUACACCACGUGUCGUCUGAUUUGGAUACGAAUUUUUUAUGGAAAGGAAUUUACUCCUGGUUUCAUCAAAGGUAACAUUCCUGGUUGUAAUAACCUUUCUUCGGGCUGGGGUGUUGGUGAUGGUACCACUUAUCGUCUGAUUUGGAUACGAAUUUUUUUUAUGGAAAGGACUGCAAGGACUUAAUACAGCGUGAUCAGUUAUCGCCUUUCGUGAGCAUACCUCGCCACGUUCACGAUGAUGAUAGCAGGGUUCUGUUUGCUCUCUCGGCUACCCCAUUCUGUUCUGGGCAGUAAGCCACCGACAGUUGACGGGCUUUUCCUUCCUUUCAUGAGGCUCCAUCUGUGACUUGGCAGAUGUCUGAGUGAAUUAAAUCUUAAUCCCGACGUGGCCUCAAUUUCUCUUUUUCUUCUGAGAAGAUCAAUCCCCUGUCAACACAGGAACCUUUAUAAAUUUACUCCUGGAUUCAUCAGAAAUAACAUCUCUGGCUGUAAUUACCUUUCUUUUUUCAAUCGACCAUAGCCUGUAUCCAUUGUCACAAUAUCCUAACAUAAUACACCACGUGUCGUCUGAUUUGGAUACGAAUUUUUUAUGGAAAGGAAUUUACUCCUGGUUUCAUCAAAGGUAACAUUCCUGGUUGUAAUAACCUUUCUUCGGGCUGGGGUGUUGGUGAUGGUACCACUUAUCGUCUGAUUUGGAUACGAAUUUUUUUUAUGGAAAGGACUGCAAGGACUUAAUACAGCGUGAUCAGUUAUCGCCUUUCGUGAGCAUACCUCGCCACGUUCACGAUGAUGAUAGCAGGGUUCUGUUUGCUCUCUCGGCUACCCCAUUCUGUUCUGGGCAGUAAGCCACCGACAGUUGACGGGCUUUUCCUUCCUUUCAUGAGGCUCCAUCUGUGACUUGGCAGAUGUCUGAGUGAAUUAAAUCUUAAUCCCGACGUGGCCUCAAUUUCUCUUUUUCUUCUGAGAAGAUCAAUCCCCUGUCAACACAGGAACCUUUAUAAAUUUACUCCUGGAUUCAUCAGAAAUAACAUCUCUGGCUGUAAUUACCUUUCUUUUUUCAAUCGACCAUAGCCUGUAUCCAUUGUCACAAUAUCCUAACAUAAUACGCCACGUGUCGUCUGAUUUGGAUUACACUAAGGAACCAUUCCUUGCACAGUCCUGGUGGCGCUGGUCACCCAGAGGUGCGUCCUGGGCGAGGAGCUGCCGGAGUCGUUGCUCCGCGGCAAGCCCCCCGGGGGGGAAAGGGGGGGGGGAGGUCGAGGGAUACAUAGGUAGGUGACUACAAACUGUAAUUUUGGAGGUAACAAAAUCAUUGAAACUUUUGUUCCACUUCAUGGGAGCUUGUUUGAGCCCAUAAAGAGUCCUCUUAAGUUUACAAACAGCUUUAGCACUUCCUCUUUCAUUCGCUAGUCCUUAUGGGACUAGCUCAGGCUCAGGGGCGCGGCAGUUGGAAGCCUUCGCCCGUAACACAACGAAACAAUCCUGCUUUUAAUUUGCUAAAGAAAGAUACAAGAAGAUAACCUACUGGUGGUUCGAGUCAGAUGAAGAGGCUUCACUUGAUGGUGGACUGCCAUCUGGUUGGCUGGGCGCAUUAGGUGCUCCUUGGUCCGUUUCUUCUGUCUCGUACCAGCACCAGUUUGGGGUUGUCUUGUCUGGCGCGGGGCUCGUCUCGACCUCUCACGGCCUCUCACGUUGACUUUACACACCGUGGCGCGUUAGAUUUACCAGGAUCUUCUGGUAGUGUGUGGAUUAUCUAGGAACAUCAUCUUCUCCCGGCAUCUUCUUUCUUCUUUUGGACUGCUCGAAAAUGCGAUUGCCUCCACGAGGCGGGAUAGCCUCUCAAGUGCUUUAUCGGAUACGAGCGGUAGAAGUUUUUCUAGACACUCGAUCACGCAAAUGAUGAUUCGACGGCGUCGAGCUGCAUCGUGGGGUUUCCCGCGAUGACCGCUCUGUGAUGCUCGGCAGGCGCUGCGCCCAGAGUGAGCGGAGCAGCGGGUCCCCGACGGUCCUAACUGGUGUUGUUGAACGUCCCACUUCUGAUCUUUUAGAGAGUAAAGGGCCCAAUAAAUUUUCUAAAUCAUUGAACACUGUUGGAAUCAUUCUGAAAUGUUGUCUGAAUUGAACUGAAUUUAUCCUGGGAAUAGUUCUUGCAAUAUAACCUCUUACUCUUGUAGGUGCAAUCCUCUUGCCCCUUAAUUUUCGCAUAAUAGACAACAAAUUUCAAAACAUGCUUUCUUUCUUGCAUCCAUUGCAGACGACUUCUAAGUGUAAACAAAACCGUCUCCCCCGAACCGCUCGGAAACUCAGCUAUCCCCUCGUCACCCCACGAACACUCUGCCCCCACCACCUCCGUCCCUCGGGUGGAGAUCUCGGCGGACGGGGCGCUGGUCGCCCAGGGGUGCGUCCUGAUUCCACAACACUGCUGGAACACAGUCAAACGAGAUCUGGGUCCCGGUGCGUUCUUGUUUUGCUCCUUCCAAACCCUCCAAGGUCAUCACGGUAGGGCAGCAGACAUGACGAGCCGAAAUGCUACCGCAUUUGAGUUUGCGGACAGACCGCGCGAGGUCGAAGUGUCAGAGUGAUGAUGAAGAUGGCCAAACGAAUGUGGGGAUGGGUGGGUGGCCUACCCUCACGGCGCCAUUGUUCCAGAGCCGUUCCAAGUGCAAUGAAGGUAGGCCACCCAAUCGACACGUCACCGUGCGGUCGUAGGAAAUUAGUGACACAAAAGGAAACCGCAGCAAAAAGUCAUAGGGUUUAAAAUUUAAAAAAUUCUUCUUUGACUUUUUAAUUCAUUCCGAGAGUCCAUUAUCCGUCGCUCUGCUUCUCGCGCACCUCCGUAGAGUUAUCCUUAUUUUAUUGCUCUUAGACAUCAUCUUUUAAUUAUUUUAUGUUUUCAGGUGUGACCUUAAUAAUUUUUUUAUUGUUUUCAGACAUGACCUGUUAAUUCUUUAUUCUUUCCAGGGACGGGCGUUUUAACGCGUUGGCGCUCUCAGUUGCGGGAAGCAACCGCGCUGGAUUCUUGUACUAGAGUGUAUUUUGCCUGUUUUUAAUGUUUCUAGCUUGCAGUUGUUACCAUCCUCAGCUACACUGAAUAAAUAAAUUAUUGAAUCUA